UACGUAGGCAGCAAGCGUUGUUCGGAGUUACUGGGCGUAAAGGGUGUGUAGGCGGUUGUUUAAGUUUGGUGUGAAAUCUCCCGGCUCAACCGGGAGGGUGCGCCGAAUACUGAAUGACUUGGAGUGCGGGAGAGGAAAGUGGAAUUCCUGGUGUAGCGAUGAAAUGCGUAGAUAUCAGGAGGAACACCGGUGGUGUAGACGGCUUUCUGGACCGUAACUGACGCUGAGACACGAAAGCGUGGGUAGCAAACAGG
rnacentral:rRNA from 1 species